GAUGAACGCUGGCGGCGUGCCUAAUACAUGCAAGUCGAGCGAAUAGAUGAGGAGCUUGCUCCUCUGACGUUAGCGGCGGACGGGUGAGUAACACGUGGAUAACCUACCUAUAAGACUGGGAUAACUUCGGGAAACCGGAGCUAAUACCGGAUAAUAUAUUGAACCGCAUGGUUCAAUAGUGAAAGACGGUUUUGCUGUCACUUAUAGAUGGAUCCGCGCCGCAUUAGCUAGUUGGUAAGGUAACGGCUUACCAAGGCGACGAUGCGUAGCCGACCUGAGAGGGUGAUCGGCCACACUGGAACUGAGACACGGUCCAGACUCCUACGGGAGGCAGCAGUAGGGAAUCUUCCGCAAUGGGCGAAAGCUUGACGGAGCAACGCCGCGUGAGUGAUGAAGGUCUUCGGAUCGUAAAACUCUGUUAUUAGGGAAGAACAAAUGUGUAAGUAACUAUGCACGUCUUGACGGUACCUAAUCAGAAAGCCACGGCUAACUACGUG
rnacentral:rRNA from 1 species